GAUGAACGCUAGCUGGAGGCUUAAUACAUGCAAGUCGAGCGGGAUUGGUAGCAGUACCAUGAGAGCGGCGCACGGGUGAGUAACGCGUACACGACCUACCUCUGACAGGGGGAUGGCCCUGGGAAACUGGGAUUAAUACCGCAUAUUAUUCUGAUUAAUAAAGGAUUGGAAUGAAAGUUCAGGCGGUCAGAGAUGGGUGUGCGUCUGAUUAGCUAGUUGGUGGGGUAACGGCCUACCAAGGCGAUGAUCAGUAGGGGGCGUGAGAGCGUGGUCCCCCACACGGGUACUGAGACACGGACCCGACUCCUACGGGAGGCAGCAGUAAGGAAUAUUGGACAAUGGCCGCAAGGCUGAUCCAGCCAUCCAGCGUGCAGGAAGAAGGCCCUAUGGGUUGUAAACUGCUUUUAUCAGGGAAGAAACCUCUGGAUUUACUCCGGAGCUGACGGUACCUGAAGAAUAAGCACCGGCUAACUCCGUGCCAGCAGCCGCAGUAA
rnacentral:rRNA from 1 species